rnacentral:rRNA from 1 species
UACGGAGGGUGCAAGCGUUGUCCGGAUUUAUUGGGUUUAAAGGGUGCGUAGGCGGCUUUUUAAGUCCGGGGUGAAAGCCCGUUGCUCAACAACGGAACUGCCCCGGAAUCUGGAGAGCUUGAGUACAGACGAGGGCGGCGGAAUGGAGGGUGUAGUGGUGAAAUGCAGAGAGACCCUCCAGAACACCGAUUGCGAAGGCAGCGGCCUAGACUGUAACUGACGCUGAGGCACGAAAGCGUGGGGAGCGAACAGG